GGCCGCGUGGCCCAACGGUUAAGGCGCCUGACUACGAAUCAGGAGAUUGUGGGUUCGAUUCCCAUCGUGGUCA